rnacentral:rRNA from 1 species
AAACCAGCACCUCAAGUGGUCAGGAUGAUUAUUGGGCCUAAAGCAUCCGUAGCCUGCUCUGUAAGUUUUCGGUUAAAUCUGUACGCUCAACGUACAGGCUGUCGGGAAUACUGCAGAACUAGGGAGUGGGAGAGGUAGACGGUACUCGGGAGGAAGUGGUAAAAUGCUUUGAUCUCUCGAUGACCACCUGUGGCGAAGGCGGUCUACCAGAACACGUCCGACGGUGAGGGAUGAAAGCUGGGGGAGCAAACCGGAUUAGAAACCCCAGUAGUCC